UGGGGGGUACGAGAGGGCCGCUACCACGCGAGUGGAUGCCAAUCCCCAAAACCUCUCUCAGUUCGGACUGGAGUCUGCAACCCGACUCCACGAAGCUGGAUUCGCUAGUAAUCGCGCAUCAGCCACGGCGCGGUGAAUACGUUCCCGGGCCUUGUACACACCGCCCGUCAAGCCAUGGGAGCCGGGGGUACCUGAAGUGCGUAACCGCGAGGAGCGCCCUAGGGUAAAACUGGUGACUGGGGCUAAGUCGUAACAAGGUAUC
rnacentral:rRNA from 1 species